CCCUUAGAUGUCCUGGGCUGCACGCGCGCUACACUGAUGUGUCCAGUAAGCACCUAACCUCUUCCGAAAGGAACGGGUAACCUUUGCAAAGCACAUCGUGAUGGGGAUAGAUUAUUGCAAUUAUUAGUCUUGAACGAGGAAUUCCUAGUAAGCACAAGUCAUCAGCUUGUGUUGAUUACGUCCCUGCCCUUUGUACACACCGCCGUCGCUCCUACCGAUUGAAUGUUCCGGUGAGCUCUUCGGACUGCGCGGUCUGCAGUUUCUGCGUUCCGUGCGGAAAGUUGCGCAAACCUUAACAUUUAGAGGAAGGAGAAGUCGUAACA
rnacentral:rRNA from 1 species